rnacentral:rRNA from 1 species
GACGAACGCUGGCGGCGUGCUUAACACAUGCAAGUCGAACGGAAAGGCCCUGCUUUUGUGGGGUGCUCGAGUGGCGAACGGGUGAGUAACACGUGAGUAACCUGCCCUUGACUUUGGGAUAACUUCAGGAAACUGGGGCUAAUACCGGAUAGGAGCUCCUGCUGCAUGGUGGGGGUUGGAAAGUUUCGGCGGUUGGGGAUGGACUCGCGGCUUAUCAGCUUGUUGGUGGGGUAGUGGCUUACCAAGGCUUUGACGGGUAGCCGGCCUGAGAGGGUGACCGGCCACAUUGGGACUGAGAUACGGCCCAGACUCCUACGGGAGGCAGCAGUGGGGGAUAUUGCACAAUGGGCGGAAGCCUGAUGCAGCAACGCCGCGUGCGGGAUGACGGCCUUCGGGUUGUAAACCGCUUUCGCCUGUGACGAAGCGUGAGUGACGGUAAUGGGUAAAGAAGCACCGGCUAACUACGUGCCAGCAGCCGCGGUGAUACGUAGGGUGCGAGCGUUGUCCGGAUUUAUUGGGCGUAAAGGGCUCGUAGGUGGUUGAUCGCGUCGGAAGUGUAAUCUUGGGGCUUAACCCUGAGCGUGCCUUCGAUACGGGUUGACUUGAGGAAGGUAGGGGAGAAUGGAAUUCCUGGUGGAGCGGUGGAAUGCGCAGAUAUCAGGAGGAACACCAGUGGCGAAGGCGGUUCUCUGGGCCUUUCCUGACGCUGAGGAGCGAAAGCGUGGGGAGCGAACAGGCUUAGAUACCCUGGUAGUCCACGCUGUAAACGGUGGGUACUAGGUGUGGGGUCCAUUCCACGGGUUCCGUGCCGUAGCUAACGCUUUAAGUACCCCGCCUGGGGAGUACGGCCGCAAGGCUAAAACUCAAAGGAAUUGACGGGGCCCCGCACAAGCGGCGGAGCAUGCGGAUUAAUUCGAUGCAACGCGUAGAACCUUACCUGGGUUUGACAUGGAUCGGGAGUGCUCAGAGAUGGGUGUGCCUCUUUUGGGGUCGGUUCACAGGUGGUGCAUGGCUGUCGUCAGCUCGUGUCGUGAGAUGUUGGGUUAAGUCCCGCAACGAGCGCAACCCUUGUUCACUGUUGCCAGCACGUUAUGGUGGGGACUCAGUGGAGGCCGCCGGGGUCAACUCGGAGGAAGGUGGGGAUGACGUCAAGUCAUCAUGCCCCUUAUGUCCAGGGCUUCACGCAUGCUACAAUGGCUGGUACAGAGAGUGGCGAGCCUGUGAGGGUGAGCGAAUCUCGGAAAGCCGGUCUCAGUUCGGAUUGGGGUCUGCAACUCGACCUCAUGAAGUCGGAGUCGCUAGUAAUCGCAGAUCAGCAACGCUGCGGUGAAUACGUUCCCGGGGCU